rnacentral:rRNA from 1 species
CAGAGGUGCUGCAUGGCUGUCGUCAGCUCGUGCCGUGAGGUGUUGGGUUAAGUCCGCAACGAGCGCAACCCUACGUUAGUUGCUAACGCGUGAAGGCGAGCACUCUAGACGAACUGCCGUUGACAAAACGGAGGAAGGUGGGAUGACGCCAAAUCAUCAUGCCCUUACUGUUCUGGGCUACACACGUGCUACAAUGGCCGGUACAGACGGACGCAAAGCCGCGAGGUGGAGCAAAUCCUAAAAGACCGGUCUCAGUUCGGAUUGCAGGCUGCAAUUCGCCUGCAUGAAGUCGGAAUCGCUAGUAAUCGCAGGUCAGCAUACUGCGGUGAAUACGUUCCCGGGCCUU